rnacentral:rRNA from 1 species
AACGAACGCUGGCGGCAGGCCUAACACAUGCAAGUCGAACGAUGCCUUCGGGCAUAGUGGCGCACGGGUGAGUAACACGUGGGAACAUACCUUUCGGUGGGGGAUAACUUCGGGAAACUGAAGCUAAUACCGCAUACGCCCCUUGGGGGAAAGAUUGAUCGCCGAAAGAUUGGCCCGCGUCCGAUUAGCUAGUUGGUGAGGUAACGGCUCACCAAGGCUUCGAUCGGUAGCUGGUCUGAGAGGAUGACCAGCCACACUGGGACUGAGACACGGCCCAGACUCCUACGGGAGGCAGCAGUGGGGAAUAUUGGACAAUGGGCGCAAGCCUGAUCCAGCCAUGCCGCGUGAGUGAUGAAGGCCUUAGGGUUGUAAAGCUCUUUCACCCACGACGAUGAUGACGGUAGUGGGGGAAGAAGCCCCGGCUAACUUCGUGCCAGCAGCCGCGGUAA